GGUUCUUUCAAAGGAAGCCUGCUCCGUGUCUGGGUCUGACUCCUUUGCUCAGCUGCUCACUAGGAACCUAGCUGAAACUUUGUGACCUCAGGAUGAGCCCUAGAACAAUGAAGUAAAGCAAAAUUGAUAUUCCAGAGUGGAUGGCGGCCUCCAAGAGAGAGAAGAGAGCACAGUACCUUCCAAGUCAGAGAAGAGUGGAAGUGAAAGCCCGGAGGAGAUGAAGACAAAGGCGUGUGCAGGAAUGUGGAAGAUCUAUGUGUCUGGAUGGUGGAGAGCUUUUCCACAAUGUGAUUUACUGCCGGAGGAUGAGAUGCUUUGUACAGACGCAGAGGCAGCAAGGUGCAAAUGACCACGGCCUGAAACCUCUGACAGCAUGAGCUAAAUUCGAUUAUCUUCUAAAUACCACAAACUUUUCAAAUGAAAAGUCUAGGGAUUCAGCGAUGCCUCAGUCCUUACGAUCAUGUGUUGCGUGGCUUUUGCAGAGGACCUAGGUACAGUCUCCAGCACGUACAUGCAGUACCAGCAGAUGUGACACUCUCUUCUGACCAGGCAUGCAUGUGGUACAUAGACAUACAUGCAGGCAAGCCACUUAAUAUGUAUACGUAUAUGUAUAUGUAGAUAUAUAGAAAUGCAUCUAAAAGAAAAAGGGAAAAACUAUAGGGAAAUCGCAUAUUUAACCACCCAAGUUAAUUGGAGCAUGAUUCAAAUGCUCAGUUCAAUGAUGAUAUAUGUGCACUACUGAAAUCCAAAUAAAAAUAAACAUGCCAUUGGCUUGCAGAAUGCUCUGUUGUGGUCUUCAUAUCCAAUCUCCUACUCCUACAUGACACUCGAGACCAGUGCUGGUCAGCUUUCUCAAACUGGAGACUGAAUUUGCCUGCUCCAGAACCCUGACGAAGUAGAAGCCCGCAACACACAUUUCCAC
rnacentral:lncRNA from 1 species